CAACCCUAAAAAAACAGAAUACAAAAUGUUUUUUUAACGUUAAUUUACACGUCUCAGGCUGCAGUUCAGUUUUGAUGGAAGAGGCGUCCCAGAAUGCACCACAUCAGCAGAAGCAGAAGUUAGAGAAAACCUCACAUCUGAUGUUCAUGUAUUGUCCUGCAUUUCCACAUUUCUCUGCAUGUUUCACAACUUUCAAACUGUCUCUUGACACAAAGCGGAAUCAUUUCUCACAAGCGAGUGUCAGCGUGGACGUGAGGAUGGGACACACCUUGUUUGGUGCGUUGGGGCUUUUCUCGCUGAAUAUUCUCCUCUACUGUGGACACGCUCAAGAUCCUCGUCCUGUCCUUACAGUGUCUCCAUCUUGGACGAGUCCUGGAGACUCAGUGACUCUGACCUGCAGUGUUGGACCUCCGUCUGCAGGAUGGAGGUUCUUCUGGUAUAAGGCUGUUCCACACAUGUCACGCUACACCUACUACACCUAUGAGCUUCUAGCUGGUGGCACCACUGGGACUGAACAGGAUUCCUACAUUCUUCAU